UACAGAGGGGGCAAGCGUUGUCCGGAUUUACUGGGCGUACAGCGCGCGCAGGCGGACCGCGACGUGCCGUGUGACAAGCCACUGCUCACCAGUGGAGGGCCACGGUACACGAGCGGUCUGGAGGCAGGGAGAGGGAUGUGGAAUGCCCGGUGGAGCGGUGAAAUGCGUAGAGAUCGGGCGGAACACCAGCGGCGAAGGCGGCAUCCUGUCCUGUACUGACGCUGAGGCGCGAGAGCGUGGGGAGCGAACCGG
rnacentral:rRNA from 1 species